rnacentral:rRNA from 1 species
CCUACGGGAGGCAGCAGUGGGGAAUUUUGGACAAUGGGCGCAAGCCUGAUCCAGCAAUGCCGCGUGAGUGAAGAAGGCCUUCGGGUUGUAAAGCUCUUUUGUCAGGGAAGAAACGGUUGUGGCUAAUAUCUGCAGCUAAUGACGGUACCUGAAGAAUAAGCACCGGCUAACCACGUGCCAGCAGCCGCGGUAAUACGUAGGGUGCAAGCGUUAAUCGGAAUUACUGGGCGUAAAGCGUGCGCAGGCGGUUUUGUAAGUCUGUCGUGAAAUCCCCGGGCUCAACCUGGGAAUGGCGAUGGAGACUGCAAGGCUGGAAUCUGGCAGAGGGGGGUAGAAUUCCACGUGUAGCAGUGAAAUGCGUAGAGAUGUGGAGGAACACCGAUGGCGAAGGCAGCCCCCUGGGUCAAGAUUGACGCUCAUGCACGAAAGCGUGGGGAGCAAACAGGAUUAGAUACCCUGGUAGUCCACGCCCUAAACGAUGUCUACUAGUUGUCGGGUCUUAAUUGACUUGGUAACGCAGCUAACGCGUGAAGUAGACCGCCUGGGGAGUACGGUCGCAAGNUUAAAACGUCAAAUGAAUUGACGG